GAUGAACGCUGGCGGCGUGCCUAAUACAUGCAAGUCGAGCGAACGGACGAGAAGCUUGCUCCUCUGACGUUAGCGGCGGACGGGUGAGUAACACGUGGAUAACCUACCUAUAAGACUGGGAUAACUUCGGGACACCGGAGCUAAUACCGGCUGAUAUUUUGAACCGCAUGGUUCAAAAGUGAACGACGGUCUUGCUGUCACUUAUAGAUGGAUCCGCGCUGCAUUAGCUAGUUGGUAAGGUAACGGCUUACCAAGGCAACGAUGCGUAGCCGACCUGAGAGGGGGAUAGGCCACACUGGAACUGAGACACGGUCCAGACUCCUACGGGAGGCAGCAGUAGGGAAUCUUCGGCAAUGGGCGAAAGCCUGACGGAGCAACGCCGCGUGAGUGAUGAAGGUCUUCGGAUCGUAAAACUCUGUUAUUAGGGAAGAACAUAUUUGUAAGUAACUGGGCACGUCUUGACGGUACCUAAUCAGAAAGCCACGGCUAACUACGUG
rnacentral:rRNA from 1 species